AGAAUCAACGCUGGCGGCGUGCCUAACACAUGCAAGUCGAACGAGAAAGUGGAGCAAUCCAUGAGUAAAGUGGCGCACGGGUGAGUAACACGUGACUAACCUACCCUUGAGUGGGGGAUAACCUAGAGAAAUCUGGGCUAAUACCGCAUAAUACCUUCGGGUCAAAGGAGCAAUUCGCUUAAGGAGGGGGUCGCGGCCGAUUAGUUAGUUGGCGGGGUAAUGGCCCACCAAGACUAUGAUCGGUAUCCGGCCUGAGAGGGCGCACGGACACACUGGAACUGAAACACGGUCCAGACUCCUACGGGAGGCAGCAGUGGGAAUUUUGCGCAAUGGGGGAAACCCUGACGCAGCAACGCCGCGUGGAGGAUGAAGUCCCUUGGGACGUAAACUCCUUUCGAUCGGGACGAUAAUGACGGUACCGAGAGAAGAAGCCCCGGCUAACUUCGUGCCAGCAGCCGC
rnacentral:rRNA from 1 species